UUUCCGUAGGUGAACCUGCGGAAGGAUCAUUAACGUAUCUCUGGCGGGUGCUGGCGCGCCCUGCUCCGGCCCACAAAGCCGUGCAGCGGGCGACCGGUCCCGUCCAACCUUCACAAACCCACCGUGCACAUUCACGGCGGAUGGGCCUCAGGUCCUGAAGCCGCUUCACAAGCUCCACUUAAAGAAUGUAACGCGGCCUCUGUGUCGCCUAACAACGAAACAACUUUCAACAACGGAUCUCUUGGCUCUCGCAUCGAUGAAGAACGCAGC
rnacentral:misc_RNA from 1 species